rfam:Pelodiscus sinensis unplaced genomic scaffold scaffold1641, whole genome shotgun sequence.
GAUGAGGUGGCCGAGUGUUUAAGGUGAUGGGCUGCUAAUCCAGUGUUCUUUAGGUGUAUGGGUUCAAACCCUCUCCUCAUUG